rnacentral:rRNA from 1 species
UACGUAGGUGGCAAGCGUUGUCCGGAUUUACUGGGCGUAAAGAGCGCGUAGGCGGUCGUGCAAGUCGCGUGUGAAAGCCCCCGGCUCAACUGGGGAGGGUCACGCGAUACUGCUCGACUUGAAGGCAGGAGAGGGAAGUGGAAUUCCCGGUGUAGUGGUGAAAUGCGUAGAUAUCGGGAGGAACACCAGUGGCGAAGGCGACUUCCUGGCCUGUUCUUGACGCUGAGGCGCGAAAGCUAGGGUAGCAAACGGG